rnacentral:misc_RNA from 1 species
AAGACUAUAGACCUGCGGAGUACCUGCGGAGGGAUCAUUACCAAUUUCAACUGGUGGUGUGGUUCUUGUGGUAGCAAUACUGCAAGGCCAUCAUCAUCAUUACUCUAUGUAAACUUGUUGAACUUGUGCUGUGAGGAAAUUUGGGCACUGUUGUAUGUAUGUGUAUGCAUGCAUGCAACUUGCCCAUUACUACCUUGCACGUUAAACAACUUUAGACAUACUACCAAUCUGAAAGAUAGA